rnacentral:rRNA from 1 species
AUUGAACGCUGGCGGCAGGCCUAACACAUGCAAGUCGAGCGGAUGAAGGGAGCUUGCUCCUGGCUUCAGCGGCGGACGGGUGAGUAAUGCAUAGGAAUCUGCCCGGUAGUGGGGGAUAACGUCCGUAAACGGGCGCUAAUACCGCAUACGUCCUGAGGGAGAAAGUGGGGGAUCUUAGGACCUCACGCUAUCAGAUGUGCCUUGGACGGAUUAGCUAGUUGGUGAGGUAACGGCCUACCAAGGCGACGAUCCGUAACUGGUCUGAGAGGAUGAUCAGUCACACUGGAACUGAGACACGGUCCAGACUCCUACGGGAGGCAGCAGUGGGGAAUAUUCGGCAAUGGGCGAAAGCCUGAUCCAGCAAUGCCGCGUGUGUGAUGAAGGUCUUCGGAUUGUAAGGCACUUUAAGUUGGGAGGAAGGGCAGUAAGUUAAUACCUUGCUGUUUUGACGUUACCAACAGAAUAAGCACCGGCUAACUUCGUG